UCCCGAGUUCCUGGCCGUGACUGAGUACAGCGUGUCCCCAGGCGCAGACCUCAAGGGCCUUCUCCAGCGGCUGGAGACAGUAUCGGGUGAUGAAACAGGAAGACUGAAGCCCAGGCCUGGCAGGCCCACGGCCACAUUCAGGCCAACAGACCAUCCCUCCUUCCACAGAGGAGAAGCGCAUCUACCGGGUGCCUGUGUUCACAGCGCCCUUCUGCCAGGCCCUGCUGGAAGAGCUGGAGCACUUCGAGCAGUCGGACAUGCCUAAGGGGAGGCCCAACACCAUGAACAACUACGGGGUGCUGCUGCACGAGCUCGGGCUGGACGAGCCGCUGAUGACACCACUGCGGGAGCGCUUCCUGCAGCCGCUGAUGGCC
rnacentral:sRNA from 1 species